AACGAACGCUGGCGGCAUGCCUAACACAUGCCAGUCGAACGAGACCUUCGGGUCUAGUGGCGCACGGGUGCGUAACGCGUGGGAACCUGCCCUUAGGUUCGGAAUAACUCCCCGAAAGGGGUGCUAAUACCGGAUAAUGUCUUCGGACCAAAGAUUUAUCGCCUUUGGAUGGGCCCGCGUUGGAUUAGCUAGUUGGUAGGGUAAAAGCCUACCAAGGCGACGAUCCAUAGCUGGUCUGAGAGGAUGAUCAGCCACACUGGGACUGAGACACGGCCCAGACUCCUACGGGAGGCAGCAGUGGGGAAUAUUGGACAAUGGGCGAAAGCCUGAUCCAGCAAUGCCGCGUGAGUGAUGAAGGCCUUAGGGUUGUAAAGCUCUUUUACCCGGGAUGAUAAUGACAGUACCGGGAGAAUAAGCUCCGGCUAACCCCGUG
rnacentral:rRNA from 1 species